AAUGAACGCUGGCGGCAGGCCUAAUACAUGCAAGUCGAGGGAGAAUGUUGGAUUCGUCUGACAUGAAACCGGCGCACGGGUGCGUAACACGUAUGCAACCUACCUUUAACUGGGGUAUAGCUCAGAGAAAUCUGAAUUAAUCCCCCAUAAGACUACGACGUGGCAUCAUGAUGUAGUUAAAGCUCCGGCGGUUAAGGAUGGGCAUGCGGUACAUUAGCUAGUUGGUGAGGUAAUGGCUCACCAAGGCUACGAUGUAUAGGGGGUCUGAGAGGAUGCACCCCCACACUGGUACUGAGACACGGACCAGACGCCUACGGGAGGCAGCAGUAGGGAAUAUUGGUCAAUGGACGCAAGUCUGAACCAGCCAUGCCGCGUGAAGGAUGAAGGCCCUAUGGGUCGUAAACUUCUUUUAUUAGGGAAGAAGAAACGGGAUGCGUCCUGUACUGACGGUACUUAAUGAAUAAGGAUCGGCUAACUUCGUGCCAGCCGCCGCGGUAA
rnacentral:rRNA from 1 species